rnacentral:rRNA from 1 species
UACGUAGGUGGCGAGCGUUGUCCGGAUUUACUGGGCGUAAAGGGAGCGUAGGCGGACUUUUAAGUGAGAUGUGAAAUACCCGGGCUUAACUUGGGUGCUGCAUUUCAAACUGGAAGUCUAGAGUGCAGGAGAGGAGAAGGGAAUUCCUAGUGUAGCGGUGAAAUGCGUAGAGAUUAGGAAGAACACCAGUGGCGAAGGCGCUUCUCUGGACUGUAACUGACGCUGAGGCUCGAAAGCGUGGGGAGCAAACAGGAUUAGAUACCCUGGUAGUCCCU